AACGAACGCUGGCGGCAUGCCUAUCACAUGCAAGUCGAACGAUGCCUUCGGGCAUAGUGGCGCACGGGUGCGUAACGCGUGGGAAUCUGCCCUUGGCUUCGGAAUAACAGUUAGAAAUGACUGCUAAUACCGGAUGAUGUCCCCCUGAGAGAUCUUGGGGACCAAAGAUUUAUCGGCCAGGGAUGAGCCCGCGUAGGAUUAGGUAGUUGGUGGGGUAAAGGCCUACCAAGCCGACGAUCCUUAGCUGGUCUGAGAGGAUGAUCAGCCACACUGGGACUGAGACACGGCCCAGACUCCUACGGGAGGCAGCAGUGGGGAAUAUUGGACAAUGGGGGGAACCCUGAUCCAGCAAUGCCGCGUGAGUGAUGAAGGCCUUAGGGUUGUAAAGCUCUUUUACCAGGGAUGAUAAUGACAGUACCUGGAGAAUAAGCUCCGGCUAACUCCGUG
rnacentral:rRNA from 1 species